AAUAGCCUAACGGCUGAACCAGCAACUUGGAGGAAUGUAUGGCGAAAGCUAAUUGUAACCAUAUAUACAUGGUACGAUAUCGAUUUAAUCGAAUAAAAUUCUGGGUAGAAUUUGAUAAUGACAUUUUCUAUCUAUAUUUCUUGACCAAACCACGUGCCAGCAGUCGCGGCAACACGUAGCAGAUUAGUGUUAUUCAUCUUUAUUAGGUUUAAAGGGUACCUAGACGGCAAAUUUAGCUUAUAUAAAUAAAUAUUUAUGGGUACUAUUUUGCUAGAGUUACUUAUGAGGGGGCUUGAAAGUACUUUCGGUGUAGAGAUAAAAUUCUUUAAUACCCCGUCAUUUAGAUGUUAAUGGCACUGGUAAAAGCGAAAGCAUCCUUUUAUGUGAUAACUGACGUUGAGGGACGAAGGCUUUGGUAACAAACAGGAUUAGAUACCCUAAUAGUCAAGGCAGAAAAUUAUGAGUGUCAUAGAUUAGGUAAAACUUAUUCUAUAAAUUAAAGUGUAAGCAUUCCACCUCAAGAGUAAUUUGGCAACAUUGGAACUGAAAUCAUUAGACCGUUUCUGAANNNNNNNNNNNNNNNNNNNNNNUAAUUAGAUGAUACGCAAAGCACCUUACCACAAUUUGAAUGGAUACACUUAUAAAUUGUAUUUUUAUAUCAUUAAUAAAAUUAAUAAUUUUAUUAAUAGUGUAAGCGUUUUUUUUUAACAAAAUUUCGCUAACAAGCGCUGCAUGGUUGUUUUUAGUUAAUGUCGCGAGAUUUUGGUUAGUUCCAUAAAAUUAACGUAAACCCUUAUUUUAUUUUAUUUAUAUAUAAAAUAGUUCUCCAUUAUAUAGGAUAUGAUAACAGGGAUCAAGACAAGUCAUCAUGGCCUAAUAUAGAUAUUGU
rnacentral:rRNA from 1 species